GCGGGGGUAGCCAAGUCUGGUCAAAGGCGCAGGGCUUAGGACCCUGUCCCGUAGGGGUUCGUGGGUUCGAAUCCCACCCCCCGCA
rnacentral:tRNA from 1 species